rnacentral:rRNA from 1 species
CAUGUCUUUUUGAGAAUAAUUUAAAGUCUAAUCUGCCCCCUGAAGUUUUAAAUGGCCGCAGUAUUUUGACUGUGCUAAGGUAGCAUAAUCAAUAGUUUUUUAAUUGAAAGCUGGAAUGAAUGAUUGAAUGAGGUAAAAACUGUCUUAAUAUAAAUUAUAGAAUUUUAUUUUUAAGUUAAAAAGCUUAACUAAUUUUAAAAGACGAGAAGACCCUAUAGAGUUUAAUAAUUUUACUAUUUUAAUAAAGGAUAUUUAAAAUUUAUAUUAUAAUAAUAUUAUUUUGUUGGGGUGAUAAAAAAAUUUAAAAAACUUUUUUUAUAUUUUUACAUAAAUGAAUGAAUAAUUGAUCCAUAAAUAUAUGAUUAUAAGAUUAAAUUACCUUAGGGAUAACAGCGUAAUUUUUUUUAAGAGUUCAAAUCGAAAAAAAAGAUUGCGACCUCGAUGUUGGAUUAAAGUUAAUUUUUGGUGUAGAAGCUAAAAAAUUAAGUCUGUUCGACUUUUAAAACUUUACAUGAUCUGAGU